rnacentral:rRNA from 1 species
AGGAGCAAUUCGCUUAAGGAUGGACUCGCGUCCAAUUAGGUAGAUGGUGAGGUAACGGCCCACCAUGCCGACGAUUGGUAGCCGGACUGAGAGGUUGAACGGCCACAUUGGGACUGAGACACGGCCCAGACUCCUACGGGAGGCAGCAGUAGGGAAUCUUCCACAAUGGGCGAAAGCCUGAUGGAGCAAUGCCGCGUGAAGGAAGAAGUAUUUCGGUAUGUAAACUUCUAUCAGCAGGGAAGAAAAUGACGGUACCUGACUAAGAAGCCCC